rnacentral:rRNA from 1 species
GAUGAACGCUAGCGGCAGGCUUAAUACAUGCAAGUCGAGGGGCAGCAGGGUGUAGCAAUACAUCGCUGGCGACCGGCAAACGGGUGCGGAACACGUACGCAACCUUCCUUCAAGCGAGGAAUAGCCCAGGGAAACUUGGAUUAAUACCUCGUAACAUUGUGAAGUGGCAUCACUUUAUAAUUAAAGCUCAGGCGCUUGAAGAUGGGCGUGCGACUGAUUAGGUAGUUGGCGGAGUAACAGCCCACCAAGCCUGCGAUCAGUAACUGGUGUGAGAGCACGACCAGUCACACGGGCACUGAGACACGGGCCCGACUCCUACGGGAGGCAGCAGUAA